CUGAUUAUAUUAGACAAGCACAUGCGCACAGCUGACGUGAGGGACAGUUCUGCUUUCUGACAUCUCACUGUGUUUCUGCAGCCUCUGAACCCCAGACAGGCCUUGGUGAAGAGACUAUCAGUGGUCAACUUGGAGAACUUCAAGAGACAGUACGCUCGACGCAGGUGGAAGCUGUCAUUCAGAAUUGUGGCUUUGUGCAACCACCUAACACGAAUCAUGAAGAACCAUAAAAAUGAGAAGCUGCCUGAGGAGGACGGGAGGAAUUGUGAAAGCGACCAAGAAGAAGAAACUAUGAAGAGGAGACCAAGGACCAGAAAGAGAAGCAGCACUUCCUGAGAGCAACCCUCAGAGUGUCCGUCAGACAUGCAUAACAGUGACUUUGCACCUUUAUUUAGGGCAUGCUCUGCAACUGUCAUACGCCACUAAGCAUAGUUACAAUAUAUUUUGACAUGACAGCUGUAAAAGUAGAUUUUUUUUUUUUUAAGAGUUUAAGGCAACUUCUUCAUUCUGAAUCUGCACAACUUCUGCUGUAUGUCGGACAUCGUUCCGGCAUGUUUAAACAUGUGCUAAUCUUGCACUAGCAGCUAUAGCUUGAUUGCUGUUGCUGUUGACAGGAACUGUUGUGUAUGUUAGCAUAUAUGUGAGCAUAUAUAUAUAUAUGUAUGCUAUAGACAGCUUCUGUCUAAAAAGUUCUCAAGCUGUUGUUUGGCACAGUAUUGAUACAGAUUGAUUGAUAUAUAUUUUAACAGAUGUUAGCAUCCAGAGUGUUAAAUUAAAGGGUUUAGCGCUGCAGGAUAACAACAUGACAGCAGAUCUUCAAAUGUUUACGUGUUGUGCUUAACGAUGUUUUAUCAUUUACUGUUAACCUCAAGAUAUAAGCCCCUAAAGCAUCUGUAUACUAUAUGUUUACAUAGGAUAUUUUAAUUUGUGCAAAUUUUUCUGAGACUGUAACUGUGUUUCAUUGACGAGUUCACUGACUGCAUGUAUCUACGGUAUGCCUAAUAUGUGAAUCUAAUUCUGCAGUUUUAAAUGGAAUUGAUAGGUCUUGCAAUACUUUCAUGUAUUUAUAAAUAGAUAUACAUCAUGUCUUAAGUUCACUUUUGCCUGCAUCUUAGCCUUCAGUGUUUUCAAGAAGCAUUUUACUUUCUUUAUAUGUGUAUAAAGUGUAAAUUGAGAAUGUGUUAAAUAAAUUAAUGAACAUUGUUA